rnacentral:rRNA from 1 species
UACGUAGGGCGCAAGCGUUGUCCGGAAUUACUGGGCGUAAAGCGUGCGCAGGCGGUUUUGUAAGCCAGAUGUGAAAUCCCCGGGCUUAACCUGGGAAUGGCAUUUGGGACUGCAAGGCUUGAGUGCGGCAGAGGAGACUGGAAUUCCUGGUGUAGCAGUGAAAUGCGUAGAUAUCAGGAGGAACACCGGUGGCGAAGGCGGGUCUCUGGGCCGAUACUGACGCUGAGGAGCGAAAGCGUGGGGAGCGAACAGG